AUUGAAUGCUAAAAGAAUGGAAGUUUAAGAAAAAACUUUUUUAAAAAUAAAAAUUAAAUUUUUUUUAAUUUGUGCAAAACCAAUUAUUUAUAUUAAAGACAAGAAGACCCUAUGAAUUUAUGAUUAAAUAAACUAAAAAUUUUUAGUUUAUUUAAUCUUGAUUGGGGCAAUCAAAAAAUAUUAAUAACU
rnacentral:rRNA from 1 species